CAGGCUUAACACAUGCAAGUCGAGGGGCAGCAUGGUCUUAGCUUGCUAAGGCCGAUGGCGACCGGCGCACGGGUGAGUAACACGUAUCCAACCUGCCGUCUACUCUUGGACAGCCUUCUGAAAGGAAGAUUAAUACAAGAUGGCAUCAUGAGUCCGCAUGUUCACAUGAUUAAAGGUAUUCCGGUAGACGAUGGGGAUGCGUUCCAUUAGAUAGUAGGCGGGGUAACGGCCCACCUAGUCUUCGAUGGAUAGGGGUUCUGAGAGGAAGGUCCCCCACAUUGGAACUGAGACACGGUCCAAACUCCUACGGGAGGCAGCAGUGAGGAAUAUUGGUCAAUGGGCGAGAGCCUGAACCAGCCAAGUAGCGUGAAGGAUGACUGCCCUAUGGGUUGUAAACUUCUUUUAUAAAGGAAUAAAGUCGGGUAUGGAUACCCGUUUGCAUGUACUUUAUGAAUAAGGAUCGGCUAACUCCGUGCCAGCAGCCGCGGUAAUACGGAGGAUCCGAGCGUUAUCCGGAUUUAUUGGGUUUAAAGGGAGCGUAGAUGGAUGUUUAAGUCAGUUGUGAAAGUUUGCGGCUCAACCGUAAAAUUGCAGUUGAUACUGGAUAUCUUGAGUGCAGUUGAGGCAGGCGGAAUUCGUGGUGUAGCGGUGAAAUGCUUAGAUAUCACGAAGAACUCCGAUUGCGAAGGCAGCCUGCUAAGCUGCAACUGACAUUGAGGCUCGAAAGUGUGGGUAUCAAACAGGAUUAGAUACCCUGGUAGUCCACACGGUAAACGAUGAAUACUCGCUGUUUGCGAUAUACAGCAAGCGGCCAAGCGAAAGCGUUAAGUAUUCCACCUGGGGAGUACGCCGGCAACGGUGAAACUCAAAGGAAUUGACGGGGGCCCGCACAAGCGGAGGAACAUGUGGUUUAAUUCGAUGAUACGCGAGGAACCUUACCCGGGCUUAAAUUGCAGAUGAAUUACGGUGAAAGCCGUAAGCCGCAAGGCAUCUGUGAAGGUGCUGCAUGGUUGUCGUCAGCUCGUGCCGUGAGGUGUCGGCUUAAGUGCCAUAACGAGCGCAACCCUUGUUGUCAGUUACUAACAGGUUCUGCUGAGGACUCUGACAAGACUGCCAUCGUAAGAUGUGAGGAAGGUGGGGAUGACGUCAAAUCAGCACGGCCCUUACGUCCGGGGCUACACACGUGUUACAAUGGGGGGUACAGAGGGCCGCUACCACGCGAGUGGAUGCCAAUCCCCAAAACCUCUCUCAGUUCGGACUGGAGUCUGCAACCCGACUCCACGAAGCUGGAUUCGCUAGUAAUCGCGCAUCAGCCACGGCGCGGUGAAUACGUUCCCGGGCCUUGUACACACCGCCCGUCAAGCCAUGGGAGCCGGGGGUACCUGAAGUGCGUAACCGUGAGGAGCGCCCUAGGGUAAAACUGGUGACUGGGGCUA
rnacentral:rRNA from 1 species